CAACUGAAAUGCAUGGUGGGAAAUCAGUGUGAAAUUCAUUGGCUGUUCCUGCAACGGUAAAAGUCCGAGCGCCACCCAGUUA
ncrna:unclassified sequences AdoCbl variant RNA